UGAGCUCAGGCAAUCCGCCUGCCUCAGCCUCCCAAAGUGCUAGGAUUACAGACGUAAGCCACCAUGUCUGGCCCAUUAACCAUAUGUUCUAAUGCAUGUAUGUCAACACGUUUAAUGAUUUAACAGACUAUUACUGGGAUACUAGCAAAUAUUCAGAGCUGAAGAAUAUAUGAAAAUAAACGGCCAGGCGCGGUGGCUCACACCUGUAAUCCCAGCACUUUGGGAGGCUGAGGCGGGUGGAUCACGAGGUCAGGAGUUCAAGACCAGCCUGGCCAAGAUGGACUCCUGAGCUCCAGCAAUCCUCCAGUCUCUGCCUCCCAAGGUGCUGGGAUUAUGGGUGUGAGCUACUGCACCCAGCCCUGGUUUUAUUAUCUACAUGGCUCUUGUCACUGUUUGAAAGUAUUUUGUAUAUAUCUUUCUUGUUUAUUAUUAUUAUUUCACCCCACCCCACUGGAAUUUAAGCUCAGAAGAGCAAGGGCUUUGAUUUUUGCCUGAUCUUUCCCUGAGAUCAGGCACAAUAUCCUGUCCAUAGUUGGUGCUCAACAAAUACUUAUCGAAUAAAUGAAAUACAACAUAAUAUAAAGCUCCUAGCACGAGAUGAACAUAGAGCAGUUGCUCCAUAAAUGCUAGUUCCUCUAUCUAGU
rnacentral:lncRNA from 1 species